rnacentral:rRNA from 1 species
UACGGGAGGCAGCAGUGGGGAAUAUUGGACAAUGGGCGAAAGCCUGAUCCAGCCAUGCCGCGUGUGUGAAGAAGGUCUUCGGGUUGUAAAGCACUUUAAGUUGGGAGGAAGGGCAGUUACUUAAUACGUGAUUGUUUUGACGUUACCGACAGAAUAAGCACCGGCUAACUCUGUGCCAGCAGCCGCGGU